AGCGAACGCUGGCGGCAGGCCUAACACAUGCAAGUCGAACGAGGUCUUCGGACUUAGUGGCGGACGGGUGAGUAACACGUGGGAACGUACCUUUUGGUUCGGAACAACUCAGGGAAACUUGAGCUAAUACCGGAUGAGCCCUUAGGGGGAAAGAUUUAUCGCCGAAAGAGCGGCCCGCGUUAGAUUAGCUAGUUGGUGAGGUAAAGGCUCACCAAGGCUACGAUCUAUAGCUGGUCUGAGAGGAUGAUCAGCCACACUGGGGCUGAGACACGGCCCAGACUCCUACGGGGGGCAGCAGUGGGGACUCUUGCGCAAUGGGCGAAAGCCUGACGCAGCCAUGCCGCGUGAAUGAUGAAGGUCUUAGGAUUGUAAAAUUCUUUUACCAGGGACGAUAAUGACGGUACCUGGAGAAAAAGCCCCGGCUAACUUCGUGCCAGCAGCCGCCGUAAGAC
rnacentral:rRNA from 1 species